GGGCGAUUAGCUCAGUUGGUUCAGAGCGCUUGUUUGACAGACAAGAGGUCGGCAGUUCGAAUCUGCCAUCGCCCA
rnacentral:tRNA from 1 species